UAACGUCGUAAUCUUCCCUAACGAGCGC
rnacentral:sRNA from 1 species